rnacentral:lncRNA from 1 species
GUCCUAUAAAUGCUUUACUUGUGCUAUAUAUCUCAUCGUCUGCGGAUACUAAUGGAGGACGUGCUUCCUGUAAAACCUGUGAAUCAAUGGAUUCAAUAACAUCUGGUCUAUUACCAGGCAUCUCAUCAUGCAAAGGUCUAUGCAAAUCUGUAGUUUUGAUUUUGUUCUCCUGCAAAUAACUAUGUCCUCUGACAUCAAUGAUGGUCACAGGGACCCAAUCAUUUCCAGUUUUCUCUUGGAUUCUGUGAAAAUCAGCAUUACUAUGAUUGUGAAAAACAUACGACUCUGUGGUUGACUUCAAUUUUUUACAGCGUGGCUCACUCGUUACUUCUUCUCUAGGUCCCAAGAAUUUACCUUCAAUUUCACCAUAAGACAUCUUACUCUACCCCUACGCAUUGACCUUUACCUCCCAAUAAAACCUUCUUUUAGGAAGACACGAACCUCUGUGAAGGUGAAAGAAAAGCGGAGACAGCACUAAAGCCGAGGUCUGGAGGGACUAAAAGCCCACCUCUCAGAAUCGCGGUAACAAACCUC